rnacentral:rRNA from 1 species
UACGUAGGGUGCGAGCGUUGUCCGGAAUUAUUGGGCGUAAAGAGCUUGUUAGGCGGUUUGUCGCGUCUGCCGUGAAAAAUUCGAGGCUCAACCUCGAACUUGCGGUGGGUACGGGCAGACUAGAGUGUGGUAGGGGGAGACUGGAAUUCCUGGUGUAGCGGUGAAAUGCGCAGAUAUCAGGAGGAACACCGAUGGCGAAGGCAGAUCUCUGGGCCGUAACUGACGCUGAGGAGCGAAGGCGUGGGGGAGCGAACAGG